AACGCACAUUGCGCCCGCCAGUAUUCUGGCGGGCAUGCCUGUCCGAGCGUCAUUUCAACCCUCGAACCCCUCCGGGGGGUCGGCGUUGGGGAUCGGCCUUCCUUCACGGGGGCCGUCUCCGAAAUACAGUGGCGGUCUCGCCGCAGCCUCUCCUGCGCAGUAGUUUGCACACUCGCAUCGGGAGCGCGGCGCGUCCACAGCCGUUAAACACCCAACUUCUGAAAUGUUGACCUCGGAUCAGGUAGGAAUACCCGCUGAACUUAA
rnacentral:misc_RNA from 2 species